rnacentral:rRNA from 1 species
UACGAAGGGGGCGAGCGUUGUUCGGAAUUACUGGGCGUAAAGGGUGCGUAGGCGGCGCGGUAAGUCGGGUGUGAAAUCUCGGGGCUUAACUCCGAAACUGCAUUCGAUACUGCCGUGCUUGAGGACUGGAGAGGAGACUGGAAUUUACGGUGUAGCGGUGAAAUGCGUAGAUAUCGUAAGGAAGACCAGUGGCGAAGGCGGGUCUCUGGACAGUUCCUGACGCUGAGGCACGAAGGUCAGGGGAGCAAACGGG